AUUGAACGCUGGCGGCAUGCCUUACACAUGCAAGUCGAACGGCAGCACGGGUGCUUGCACCUGGUGGCGAGUGGCGAACGGGUGAGUAAUACAUCGGAACGUACCUUAUCGUGGGGGAUAACGCAGCGAAAGCUGUGCUAAUACCGCAUACGCCCUGAGGGGGAAAGCGGGGGAUCGCAAGACCUCGCGCGAUUAGAGCGGCCGAUGCCUGAUUAGCUGUGGUGGUGGGGUAAAAGCCCACCAAGGCGACGAUCAGUAGCUGGUCUGAGAGGACGAUCAGCCACACUGGGACUGAGACGCGGCCCAGACUCCUACGGGAGGCAGCAGUGGGGAAUUUUGGACAAUGGGGGCAACCCUGAUCCAGCAAUGCCGCGUGAGUGAAGAAGGCCUUCGGGUUGUAAAGCUCUUUUGUCAGGGAAGAAACACCGGCUCUAACACAGUCUGGGAAUGACGGUACCUGAAGAAUAAGCACCGGCUAACUACGUGCCAGCCGCCGCGGUAA
rnacentral:rRNA from 1 species